rnacentral:rRNA from 1 species
UACGUAGGGUCCGAGCGUUGUCCGGAAUCAUUGGGCGUAAAGCGCAUGUAGGCGGCCAGGUAAGUCGGUUGUGAAAUCCCGAGGCUCAACUUCGGAACUGCAUCCGGUACUGCUUGGCUUGAGGAAGGUAGAGGAGAGUGGAAUUCCCGGUGUAGCGGUGGAAUGCGCAGAUAUCGGGAGGAACACCAGCGGCGAAGGCGGCUCUCUGGGCCUUUCCUGACGCUGAGAUGCGAAAGCGUGGGUAG